rnacentral:rRNA from 1 species
UACGGGGGGGGCAAGCGUUGUUCGGAAUUACUGGGCGUAAAGGGCUCGUAGGCGGCCAACUAAGUCAGACGUGAAAUCCCUCGGCUUAACCGGGGAACUGCGUCUGAUACUGGAUGGCUUGAGUGUGGGAGAGGAAUGCGGAAUUCCAGGUGUAGCGGUGAAAUGCGCAGAUAUCAGGAGGAACACCAGUGGCGAAGGCGGUUCUCUGGGCAUUACCUGACGCUGAGGAGCGAAAGUGUGGGGAGCGAACAGG